GGGCCGCGGCCGUGGCUGUUUACCACCCGGUGCGGAAUCGUUCCCACGUGAGCACGUGGUGUGGCUGCCGCAGUUCGCAGCGGCUGGACGCCGUCCCGGUGGGGGUGGGGAAAGAGCCGGUGGUCCCGGGCGCCUCCCCCGCCGCCUGGCGCUGCCCCAACGUGCUUGUGCCGAAUCACGGCUGGCACCGGUGGCCUCUUGCAGCCUGGCAGAAUCGCGCACGUUCGUUCUCCCUCCUGCCGAGGCAGGCGGUGCCCGAGCGUCCCGCGGGCGCGGCCAGGCGCCCCUCUGCCCGAAGGAGCUCCCGUCUGACCUCGGAAGCGGAGGCACGUCUUGCUUCACCAGCAGGAACCCCUCUCCGGCUUUCUCCCCCUCGCCUUCCCCGGUGACAAGCAGCUGCAACGUGCCGGCGGACCGGAUGCCUCAGCCCGGGAAUCCGGGGCUCUUCCUGCGUAAAGAGGAGGGGCCUGGGCUUCCAGAACCACUGACAGAUGUCUGUGGGAAAGGGCUUCCACACCUGCCAAACCGCCAGCUUCCUUUCUCAUUCUCAAGGGCUCGAGAUGGAAGAAACAGGCCUUGAAGCAAAUCCACAGCUGCUGAAACUAGUUUUCCAGCCUGCGGAUUCCGUGGGCAAGCUCUCCAUGACAGGAUUUAGGCACCAAUUUGCGCCUGCUGCCUAUACCUAGCCAGCACGGGGGAAAGGCCAUGGGAGAACACAGGGGGAAGGCAGCCAGCUACAAGCCAACAAGUGAGCUCUCACCGGACCCCCAACCCUUCCUGCACCUUGAGCUUGGACUUCUCGGCCUCCAGAACUGUGAGAAAAUAAAUGUCUAUUGUGUAAGAC